GACGAACGCUGGCGGCGUGCUUAACACAUGCAAGUCGAACGAUGAAGCCGGAGCUUGCUCUGGUGAAUUAGUGGCGAACGGGUGAGUAACACGUGAGUAACCUGCCCUUGACUCUGGGAUAACUGCGGGAAACUGUAGCUAAUAACGGAUACGACCCUCGGAGGCAUCUCCUGGGGGUGGAAAGAAUUUCGGUCAAGGAUGGACUCGCGGCCUAUCAGCUAGUUGGUGAGGUAAAGGCUCACCAAGGCGACGACGGGUAGCCGGCCUGAGAGGGUGACCGGCCACACUGGGACUGAGACACGGCCCAGACUCCUACGGGAGGCAGCAGUGGGGAAUAUUGCACAAUGGGCGCAAGCCUGAUGCAGCAACGCCGCGUGAGGGAUGACGGCCUCCGGGUUGUAAACCUCUUUUAGCAGGGAAGAAGCGAAGGUGACGGUACCUGCAGAAAAAGCACCGGCUAACUACGUGCCAGCCGCCGCCGUAA
rnacentral:rRNA from 1 species